UAAGGAAUAUUGGUCAAUGGACGCAAGUCUGAACCAGCCAUGCCGCGUGAAGGAUGAAGGUCCUCUGGAUUGUAAACUUCUUUUAUCUGGGACGAAAACGGGAUUUUUAUCUCAAUUGACGGUACCAGAGGAAUAAGCACCGGCUAACUCCGUGCCAGCAGCCGCGGUAAUACGGAGGGUGCGAGCGUUAUCCGGAUUUACUGGGUUUAAAGGGUGCGUAGGUGGGCUUAUAAGUCAGUGGUGAAAUCUCCGAGCUUAACCUGGAAACUGCCGUUGAUACUAUAGGUCUUGAAUUAUCUGGAGGGCAGCGAAAUAUGUCAUGUAGCGGUGAAAUGCUUAGAUAUGACAUAGAACACCAAUUGCGAAGGCAGCUUACUACAUAUAAAUUGACGCUGAGGCACGAAAGCGUGGGGAUCAAACA
rnacentral:rRNA from 1 species